UAUUUUCGGGUCUACCGUGAAUCGAGUUCACGUUUUAAAUUGUUGAUUUUCAUUUUUAAAAACAAUUUUCAUAAAAUUGACAACUUUACCCCCUCCUUAAUAAGGGUGAAAUCGCCAUUUUGGGAAAAGCCGAACUGGUCACGCUGGUAGUAAAUUUAGCGUAGAACAAUUUUUGUUUGAACAUUUCUCCUCUCGGACCCAUCAUGUCGGCGAUACACCCGAAAAACCUGUAUCGGCAAAGGUUAAUGACCUCUUGCGGGGGUAGUGCUCAAGUUGCGGGAUGCAACUUAUGAUGGGUUGUUUUAGAGGCCAAUCUGAACAAAUAAUGUGAAAUUCAGCUUUCCCCUAAUUUUUCUGAUGUUCGAUUAAAAAUUUUUGCUAAAAUGGCUGUACUAUACAAACAAAUUGUUUUGUACUUAUUUAUUUUCAAGAUUAGAAAAAUUAUUACAAACAAAUAUCACCAGAAACAUUUUUUUUCCUCAUCUGGUUCUUCAAAGUUAUAAAUAGAAUUUAAAUAGGGUUGCAAAAGAAUAAAAAAAAAUGUGGAAUUAUUUGCCAAAAAUACAAAAAUGAAUUUUCACGUCUGAAAUUUCGUUUAUGGAGGAUGUGGUUUGCUCCACGUGAUGUAUUAUAAAAGGACUACCUACCUCACUUCGUGAUUUUGUGUUUCUUUCAACUCAAUUUUAUAUUUAUCAAACUGAAAAUUCAGUUUUCCCCUACCUCAAUAAGUACCCACCUCUUCCGGCUCUUCAAAAGGAUGUCUUAUCACUGAUAUUUUUUGCUAUCAAAUUACUGAUAUGUCUACCUAUCUAAUCUAACACCAGAUACUUAAUAAGAAAUUUUAUUAAAGAAUAUUUCCUCUACAGAAUGCUGAAUUCAAUCUUAAUCUGAUGAUAGAUUAUAUCCAAGUCUCAAGUUACAAUAAUUUCAUUUCUGUCUGUAAAAAAUCGAGUUUGUUGUAAUUUUUUCCAAUAUUUUGAUCAUUUAAUUUACAAUUUUCAAUUCAAAUUUUCAAUAAAAAUGUUUUUAAAUAUCAGUAGAUUAUCAAUGAUAAUAAUUAUAAUGGUGGUGAUUUCAGCAGCAAAUGUGUGCUGUAUUACUACGAGGGUAGAUCUAUCAAAGGUGAUAGCGCAGUUAGAAAAAGAAGGUAAACUACGUAGUGAAGAAGCAGAUCCGAAGAUAACUUACUUAAGAGAAGGGGAAAAGGUAAAAGGUCCAAUCCGGAACAGCAAAAGAUGUUUGAAGAAAAAAUCCUUGUUAAAAAGAUGGUUUGACUAAAUCUCCAGCUGCCAAAUUUGACAAUCUUACAAGUGUUGUAAUUUAUGAAAGAAUCUGACAGGUUUUUCAAGAAUUCAGAACCAGUUCUAUUUUUUAAAGAGGUAUCUUAUUCAAAAAAGCAUUACAUUAGUCCUAUUAAAAGUUUCUAGACCAGCCCAUUUGUUGAAAAACUAUAAUGAACUAUUAUUAGCAUUCACUUUUGUAAUUGAAUUAUUUGAGAAACAUAUACCUAUGUACAAAUAUCAUUUUCCAACUUUUCCGUCCAAUUUUUGACGCCUAAAAGAGUGAAAACACUGAUUUUUACUACAUCUCCAAAGAAAAUUAGCUCCUAUGAAUCUUCAAACUGGAAAAAAUUUCAAAUACGCUAUUUUUGUAGUUUUCAAGUUAGCCACCCAUCUUAGGGUGGUCCUUAUUUUUGAAGUUAGGAUUUUUUCCGCUCCCACCCCCUAAAGUGGUGACCUCAGGUGAGAAAAUAAUUCUCUUGAUAUAGGUAGUUUAAAUUUAUGCGACUGGGAAUGAGAGGGAGAUAAGAAUCCCUUCCUUACGGUGUGGUGAGAAUGUGAAUAAUUCCCUAUGGGUGGAAAUUAUUCUCAUUAAGUUGCCAAGAUAGCUCAGAACAUGAGACUUGUACCCAACCACUAAUUCAAAAUAUACAUAGUUUGCUGUGAAGAAAUAAAAUGAAUUAAUUAUUUGAUAAGGGUAGAGGCACCAAAUAUGGACCACUUUUUUUUGGAGGAUUACCACUUGAAAACUAUAGUGGGUAGAAACCUCCACAAAGGCUUAAAAUGAAGUUCCAUCCUUCCACUAACACUGUACAAAACUUCAGGGGCAAAGACCAACUUUAAGUAUGUUUUUUUAUUGUUAAGUGAUGAGUGUCAAAAUGACAGUUCAAAAUUUUGGACACCUAAUAUGGACCACUUAUAAAAUUUUAAAAUAAACAUACUUUCACAUUUUUCAAAAAGUCAUAUUUUUUGUAGAAAUGAACAAAAAAACAUACUCUAAGCAGUUCAGGUUAAUUUUGAAUAUUUUUUUUUGAAUUGUUGAGUGACGAGUGUCAAAUUGACAGUUCAAAAUUUUGGACGCCUAAUAUGGACCACCUAAAGAAUUUCAAAAUAAACAUAUUUUUACAUUCCAAAACAUCAUAUUAUUUAUUUAUAGAAAUGAACAAAAAAAGUAUUUGUAUUUCAAGCAUUCCUCUUUUCAGUGGCUGUAAAAAAUAAGUAAAAAAUUCAAUAUCACAGGUGGUCCAUAUUAGCGCACCCCAUAAAAAAAAACUUUGCACCAAAAAUUUCUGCACAUACCCUCAUUUUUAGCAAAAACUAAUCACUCCAGCAGAAACUACGUCCUUUUUUGAUAUUACAAACAUCAAUGACAUUCAGAAAAUUACACCACAUAUAUAUUUGAAUGAAAGUUGAAAAACACACUAAAAAAAUUUUUCAGUGUCUCAAAACAGUUUUUUGUAAAUUUCUGAGCGAGUUUUGACUUUACAGUUGUAAUUUUUGUCUCAUUUGUUUUUUUGGUGAAAAAUACAUAGGGCAAAACGCUCUGAUGUCACACAGCGUAUAAGUGGUUGCGGAUCUUGAUUCCCCUUACAUUCUGUAGGCUUCAAGCUAGUGAUUGUUCUGUCCACUUUGCAUUUUGAUAUGCCAAAACUUUCAAACCAUCUUGAGGAUCCCAUUAUUGGCUCUAAAUUGUAGAGAAUUUUGUCCCCUUUCCAACGGUAUUAAAUUUUUUGAAAUUUGCAAAAGUCUUCCUUGAGAAAAUUCACUCAAGGAGCUGAAAAAGGUAGCCAAUUCAACAUAUUGUUCUGUUCACUUUGCACUUUGAGGCAACAGAACUUUUAAACCAUCUCAAGGACCCCAUUAUUUUAUGGCUCUAGAUUGUAAAGAAUUUUGUCCCCUUUCCAACGGUAAUAAAUUUUUUGAAAUCUUCAAAGGGUUUCCCUGAGGAAAUUGACUUAAGGAGCAGAAAAAUGCGGCAAAAUUCAACUCAUUGUUCUGUCAGCUUUGCACUUUGAGGUGGCAGAACUUAUAAAAUGGCUAUAAAUUGUAGAGAAUUUUGUCCCCUUUCCAACGGUAAUAAAUUUUUUGAAAUCCUCAAAGGUCUUCCUUGAGGAAAUUGACUUGACGAGUUAAAAAUGGUAGCCAAUUUAACAUAUUGUUUUGUCCACUUUGAACUUUGAGGCGGCAGAACUUUUAAACCAUCUCAAGGAACCCAUUAUUUUAUGGCUCUAAAUUGUAGAGAAUUUUGUUCCCUUUCCAACGGUACUACAUUUUUUGAAAUCCUCAAAGGUCUUCCUCGAGAAAAUUGACUAGACGAGCUGAAAAGUAGAGGUGAACUGCAUUGUUUACAGCUAGACUUGUAAGGUUUAGCCUACCAUUCACAAGGCGCAUGUAUGCAACCUGAAAUGCGCGUUUUGCCCUAUAGGCAUACAUUUUUUCCUGACAGAUUGCGCUAAUUACCAAUGAGAACAGACGCUGGUCCAUAUUGUGGAUUGGUCCAUAAUUGGUGCCCUUACCCUUACAACAAUUUAAAGGAUUUAUUAAUACGUUUUUAUAUGAAAGCACAACUUAAACCUUUCAAUACAAGAAGUUGCCUAAGAUCCGUAUUAAGGCAGAAUAAUUACAUCACUAGACUAGUAAAUAUGUAUCUACAUAUUAUGCAGCUAUUAUAUUAACUCUUGAUGAUUCACUCAAGUGUAAUCACCACAAGUGCAAUAUCCAAUAACUUAUUAAAUACAUACUUAGAUAAUUAAGUUAUGUAAUCAAACCAUCAAAAUAAAUAAUUAGAGAAGUACCCAUACCUCUAGAUAGGUACCUACCUAUCCUCACCAAUUAAUCAAUGUGGUUGGUCAAUUAGGUAGGUGAAUGCAUUUCAGCACCCACAGAACACUGUUCACGUUCUCCAUUCUUUCAGGGGCUUCACUACUAAUACUAAGAGCGGCAUGGAAUCCUUAACUAAAAGAAGUAAAAAAGUCCACUAAUAAACCAUCAUUGGAUCAAAUUAUUAUUAAAAACAAAUUACUUUAAUUCACACAAAGGUGGUUUUUAAUUAUCAUUGAUAGAUUGUGGAGAAAACUACGACAAUUCACUACAUAUAUUUAAGAUGACAAGACGUCAUUUUACUGCAGGUUCAACAUCAAAUGAAGAUUUAGCCCCACAAUACCCCUAUUCAUAUUCAUACUUUUGUUGGACUUUUGGCGCAAAAUUAUUCCUUUGAUGUAAGCUGCCAUAGCCGUGAGAGUGGGAAAGGUUAUUGACCUAAUGUUAAGCUAUAAAUUACACGUUACCGAGUACUUCCAGUACAGGAGGUACUUAAAAUAAUUACCACCCCAAGCCGUGAAGGCAAGAUGCACUAUGUCACCCUAUUUUUAUUUUUUCCAUUUUCAAAAAAUUCGGGCUGGGGUGGGCCCCUCAAUUUUCAAAAAUUAAAAAAAAAACCAAUUCAAAGAAAAUUUUAUAAAAUUUCAAAAUUUUGAGUUCCAUCAUCUCUAGAAGGUCCUUUUUGAGUACAAAAAGACUCUCAUGACGAUUUCAGCCCCCUCCCAUGAAAACCAAGCUGACCCCCAGAAUAGCUGAAAUUCAUAUAAUAUUAUGUGGGAUGUCCUAAAAUUAGUUGUUUUUGGUCUUUCCUCCUCCCAACCCACAAAGUGGUGUUCUUUGGUGAGAAAAUAAUUCCCUAUUUUUUAUUUUUUCCAUUUUCGAAAAAUUUGGGUUGGGCGGGCUCCUCAAUUUUCAAAAAUUUGAAAAAAAAACAAUUCAAAAAUUUCAGCUAUUCUGGUGGGGUCAGCUUGGUUUUCAUGGGAGGGGGCUAAAAUCGUCAUGAGAGUCUGUUUUACUCAAAAGGGACUUUUUAGAGACAAUGGAACUCGAAAUUUUGGAAUUUUAAAAAUUUUUCUUUCAAUUGUUUUUUUUUUAAUUUUUGAAAAUUUAGGGGCCCUCCGCAACCCAAAUUUUUCAAAAUGGAAAAAAUAAAAAAUAGGGAAUCAUUUUCUCACCCGAGGUCCGUGACUUUAGGGGGUGAGAGCGGAAAAAAUCGCGAUUUUUACAAAAUCCCUAUUUUUCUCAAAACUUCGAGCACCCUUAUGUAUUUCUCCUGCAAAUGCGCUUUGAGAACUGGAUCUCUCAUCGAGAUCACCACCCCCCCCCCAUUCAAAAAAAUAUAUAUAUAUUCAAAGCUCGUCGCGUCGCUCCCAAGCUCAAAAAUCUCAACAAUUGAACAUUGGAACGACCCUCAAGCAUCAUUUUCGUUCUACAUAAUUUCUCUUCUUAAACUUCUAUCGACGUAAAAAUACAGAAAAUCCCCUUUGAUUAUUUUCUUGUUUACACGUUUAUUAACAUCACCUAAUACUUAAUUGAAAAACCAUAAACCUAACUCAAACAGGAAAAAAAAAUUAGGUACCUACUAGAGAAAGGAAAAAAGAACGAUGCUAUUGUUUUCAAGAAACUAGGCAACUUACCUAUCUAAUACUGAAAACGAUACACACGGAAUUAUAAAAGUGAAAAAUAAAUAGCAUAAAGGAAAGAUAAAAGAGUCUGAGUGUAUUUACUUUUAUCUCUAAAAGAAUGAUGGCUGAUGAAACGAGCGGUAUCCUUUUCGUUUAACAUAAAAUCGAAGUUUUUAGGGAUUAAUAGAAUCAACACAUUACCGCUAAACUUGAACGGAAUUUAAGUUGGAGAACGGUAUUACGCAAUUCAGCUUUUUGUUUUUCUUCAUCGUCCAGAGCUGGAAAAAUCUUCUUGUCGCUUUUAAAUUCGUUUAAUUAUAAAGACAAGUUUUUCCUUUUACGUACUUUAAUUUUAUCGGGUGUGCGAAGUGAUUUUCGAUGAGGUUUGUUUUUAUUAUAAUAAAAAAAUUUAUGAUGGACAAUGUGGUGAUUUUUUUUAUUUAUCGUAUAAGAAGGAUAAGUAUUUGGAGCGAAAUAUUGUAACAAAAAACGUUCCUUUUCCUUUUGAGGUGGACAUGUUUGUAAUUAAAACUUUUCAUUCAUUCGGACUCUACAGUGACGUUAUCCUUUGGCAAAAGUGAUACAAAAAUUAGUCACUAGUCGAACUAAACGUUCGCAGAUAAGGUUUAAAAGCAAGAAGCUGUGCAUUUAAAUUGUAUAAAUUUGUUGUACAAACAAAAGAGCUCGAGAUGUGAGCUAAACGUUGCGACGAUUAUACGAACAGUACCACUCCUAUUGUUUUAAAUGACAACCUUUACCACGAGUAAAGAUUAAACUGUGUGAUUCAUUCUGUUUAUAAUGUCUACCCACGUUCCUAGUUAUGUACCCACUGCCUAUUAUAGGUAUCUGUAUUUCUCUUAUAUGAUAUAACUUAACUAAAUGAAGAAUUGAUACUGCCUAUUCA